AAGUGAUUUAUCUCUCUUUACCCCAAACUUUCUUUCCCAGAUGCCUUCUUACGUACUGACGUUGAUGUGAUAAACUCUUUGAAAGAAGUCUCAUGACCAUGAAGACAUGAAAAGAGAAACGUCAGCUUAUCAAGAAGAAAGGAAGCAUAUGGAAUGGAACAGAAGUUGAAGGUCUUAAUACACACUUCUGGUGCUC
ensembl:misc_RNA